CUCACAAAUAGACCAGAACAAUAAAACUUAUUUUAAUGUCAUUAUUUCUGAAUCAGAUCAUUCGAAUGGUACAUCGGCACCUGCAAACGACAAGAGAGAGACUGACGAAUGUGCUAUACCGUUGAAAAGCACACAAUCGACUGAAGGUG